UACGAAGGGGGCUAGCGUUGCUCGGAAUCACUGGGCGUAAAGCGCACGUAGGCGGACUCUUAAGUCAGGGGUGAGAUCCUGGAGCUCAACUCCAGAACUGCCUUUUUGAUACUGGGAGUCUUGAGUUCGGGAGAGGUGAGUGGAACUGCGAGUGUAGAGGUGAAAUUCGUAGAUAUUCGCAAGAACACCAGUGGCGAAGGCGGCUCACUGGCCCGAUACUGACGCUGAGGUGCGAAAGCG
rnacentral:rRNA from 1 species